rnacentral:tRNA from 1 species
UUAAAUAUAUUUUAAUAGUUAAAAUAAAAAUUUUCCAAAUUUUAGAUAUAUAUAUCUUAUUAUUUAAU